rnacentral:lncRNA from 1 species
UGUAGCUAUCAAGCUCUCUUCUAGGGAUGAACAUUUUUUCUUCGUCGUUUGUUACAUCAUCUUCGUUUGUUACAUGUAACAAUCAAUUUCCAAAUUUAUAUGUACUGUAUACAUCAAGUGGUACUAGCCUAUAACAAACAAUAAAACUUGAUGAAUCUUUUUGUGACUUACCUAACAUCAAGCAUUCCGUGUUAACUUACAUCCAUAAACAUUUAAAUACAGAUGGGUUAAAGCCCGGAAGUUUAGCUCACCUCCAAAGAUGUACUACAACAAUUUCAUCAAAAUUCACAUUACUUUAUUUUUUUUUUUUCUGAACAGCAGAAAUUAUAUAACAAAACUCGUAUUAUUUGCACCUUCAUAUUUGGUCACGAUCAAAUAGAUGUCGAAUGGAUACUUCUAGUGAUGUUAAACCGUCUAGGCUUUCCAUUUUUUAUCGUACAACAAUCCCCCUAAUCUUAUAUGUUCUGAUUAUUGAGAAGCCAGGCCUAAAAACCCUUUCUGCAUAGGGGUAUGCACAGUUCUUCUCAGUUUAAAUCCGUAACCGAAAGUUAUAGUUAUUGAAGACGUAAAACCAAUCAGUUUGGUUAAUACUUGGUUUCAGUUAUUGGCCAAUUGUGUUAUACGGGUCGGUUAAACAACCACAGCUGUGACUUCAUUUUUGGACUUCACUUAAGUGUGCCAGCUUGAUUCAGAUUUGGGCUUUGACAAAAGUAAAAGGAUUGAGAUAUCAACAAAGGUAAUAGAUAUUAGGGCCAUAAUACAUGUUGAAGUUCCAGAUUCCCUCCCUCAGUUAUAAUAAUCUUUUAAAAAAAUAUCAAUAAGCGGUCAGUUAGGUUUUCUAUAACCCAAUGGUUAGUUCGGUUUUGUUAAUGUAUGUAACCUACUAGUAAUAAAAAGUAUUAAAACCCAGCCAUCUAUUUUCCACUUCUUCCGUUAUUCCAGUUCAGUUUUUCCCAUAUAAACCUCACCCUGCUUUCCAUAAAUCAAAGCUAAGUUUCAUGACCUAAACCAAGAACAUACAACUCUUGUACAAGUUUUGAGAUUUGAUUUAGUGCAAAAACUAGUAAUAUCCAACUUCAAAAUUGAAUCAUUUCAAACUCGGCACCAACAAUAUUUUGCUUUCAGCAGUUCUUACAAGCCAAUAAGUCAUAAGCAGCUUCAAAAAGUCACUCCUUACUAACUUUUCAAAACUAGCUUUUCCUCUCUAUACAAAAAGUCAUUUUGAAAAGUGCUUAUGAGUUUGCCAAACACUUCUUCUCCUUAUUAGCUUUUUGUAAAAGUCAAUAAGUUAUAAGGAGGUGUUGAAAAGCUUAGCCAAACACCCCCUAAAAUCCAAAUAUAUAUUUUAAAUUUUAUAUUUAUUACAACUUAUUUCAGCAAACCAAACCAAACCAAACUAAACCAAAUCAAAUGCAUAGCUAUUUGUGAGGUCUGGGGAAUCCGAACAAGUAACCAGGCAAGCGUAUUACUAAUGAAAGUUGUA